GUAAAUCCCUAAGGAAGCAUUGAAAAGUUUGUCUAUUUGCAGGUAAGUUAUCUUUUGAUGGUGAAUUUAUGGAUUUUAAAAUAAAUCAGCUCCUAAUCAAAAAAGCAACUUCCAGAUGAAAAUGGUCAAUUGAAUACAUGUGUUUAUUUUCAUGCUCUUGAAAACAUACUAAAAUGAAAAUCAAUGAGUAAAGAAAUGCAUGAACACCCAAAGGACAAACAGAACUUGAGAGGAGAUGUUAGGAGAAUCUUGGAAGCUGGGAUAUAAGUAGGUGAGUGGUAGCCAACUUAGUAAAGAAAGAGGAAGCCUUAGUCUGUGCAGCUGCCUUCCAUCUGCCACACCUGAAUAGCCUAGAUAGCAAAUGAUGGAUACCAGUGGUUUCCAGACAGGUAGCCAGCAUGAAGUUGGUAGGGAACCAAAGCUCUGUCUUGGAUGAUCUGUUUUCAGUACAUGUGUCUAAAUUCUGAAUCUAGGAAUAACAGAACAUUUGCAGUUGAAGUAUGCUGCUGCUAAGUCGCUUCAGUCAUGUCCGACUUUGUGUGACCCCAUAGAUGGCAGCCCACCAGGCUCUGUCGUCCCUGGAAUUCUCCAGGCAAGAACACUGGAGUGGGUUGCCAUUUCCUUCUCCAAUGGAUGAAAGUGAAAAGUGAAAGUGAAGUCGAUCAGUCUAUGUAAACAUAUAUUAUGAAUGACUGCAGGAGUAGGAAGAUGGCAUUUAAGAAGGACCUUCAUUGGCUCUGUUAAUUCAACAAGGAUGUCAUAAUUCUAGAUGUUAUACAACUAUGAUAUUUAGAGCUACACAGUCCAGUAUGGUACCCAUUAGCCGCAUGUAGCCUUUGAACUAUUGGAAUAUAACUGAUGUGGAUGGAGAUAGAAUGUAAGUAUGGGCAUCCCAGGUGGUGCUACUGGUAAAGAACCCCCCUGCCAAUGUAGGAGAUGCCGAUUUGAUCCCAGGUCUGAAAGAUCCCCUGGAGGAGGGCACAGCAACCCACUCCAGCAUUCUUACCAGGAGCAUCCCCGAGGACAGAGGAGCCUGGUGGGCUACAGUCCAUAGGGUUGCAUAGAGUGGGACAUGACUGAGGCAACUCAGCACACAUGUAUGCAAGCGCAUGAUGUAAGUAUUAGAUUCACCCUGAGUUUCAAGACUCAGUAUUUUAAACUAUCUCAUUAAUAAUUCAUAUUUUGUAGUUGUUUGUAGAAAUGUGUAAAAUAUAUUGUGUUAAAUCUAUCAAAACAUUUCACCUGUUUUCUGUGUGAAUGCUAAACAAUUUUAAAUUACAUUUGUGCUCCUAUUAUUUUUCAUUCUUAGAGCUCUGAAUAGAGGUACUGAUUCAAGGGUGGCUAGUAUUGUUCUCUGAUCUGUUUACAGGGGACUUAGGCCAUGCUGUACAGUAUCUUUCAGUAGCACCUGAAGUACUGCAGUGGAUACCUUUGCCAAAUAAAACAGAAUAGUUUAAACUUAUCAGUAUAUAUGUUGGUACAAUUUGUAAUUUUCUUGUUAAUCCAUUUACCUCUUCAGUACAAUUCAACCCCUGUAAAUUCUCUGUACCCGAUUACUGAAUAUGGCAAGAGACAACGUGCAGUUAAGCCAACUGGAAAAUACCAUAGUCUUGAUUACCAAUCUAGCCUUUGGUUCUCAAGCUUUCUAGUUAUAUUUUCAUGUUUUCCUAAUCAACUCUUAACUUAGUCCUGAUAGUGGCCAUUUAAAAUGUCUUUCAUUCUUCUCAAACCUCCUAUCCUUUUUCCUAGAAGAUGACCUUACUUCUUGCUUUAUUGAGAAAAUGCUGUAGAAGUCAUCGAAGAAGAAUGCCUCAGACUGAGUUUCAUAUAUUUCUAUUUGCCAUGCCUACAGCCUGAGUGCACUCAUAGCCCUGUCCAGUGCUAGGCACAGUGGAUCUUGUCUCCUGUCUCAAGAUAAUCUGUUUCUGUGUUGUGUAUUGUAUACCCUUCUGCUUCCUCAGAGGCCCCUGUUUUGGCUUCUUCAGUUUUUUCUCCUCUAUUGGUUUCAUCCCAAUAGUACUUAAACAUGCUUUAACCUCUGCCAUCUUAAAAAAAAUCCUCUCUUGAGCUCUUGUCCUCCCAUACCUACCUCUAGGUGGUCUUCUCUUUAACUGUUGAGCUUCUUGAAAAAAUUUUCUAUUUGUUAUUUCCACUUUUCCACCUUCUAUUCAUCACUAUAAUAGAGCUUCUGCUCCGGAGACUGCUUUUGCCAGUCACUAAUAACUUAAUGUUUGUGAUCUGAGGGAACAGUUUUCAGUCUUAAUCAUAGUUACUCUCUCUGCAGCAUUUGACAGUAGUAGUAAUUUUCUCUUCUAUGAAAUACCUUUUCCUCUUGUUUUUUGUGAUCCUCUAUUCUUCUGGUUUUUAUUCUAAUGUCCCUUCUUCAUAGUCUCCUUUAGGACUCCAUCUUUCUGUGUGGAGAGAAUGUGCCUGAAGGUAUAUGAAAAAAAGGAAAGCCUGGACAUCCCAGCCUGAAGGUGAACCCAGACUUGUAGAUGUUCCUGCCAAGAUGACAGACCUGUGAGAGAGCCAUCUUAUAUACUCCAUGCUCUGGAAACUUCCAGAUAAUUUUAGCCUCAGUGACAUCUCAUGAAGCUGUAGAACUGCCUAACUGAGCCCAGUCCAUCCACAGAAUAAUAAGAUAUAACAAAAUGGUUGCUGUUUUAAACCCUAAACUUGUGGUUGUUUAUCCCACAGUGGAUAAAACCAAACCAAACCUUCUCUCUGUCUUGUUUACUACUCCAGUCUGAUCUCUGAUAAUUCACCUUUGGCACUCUAAGGUCCACCUUCAGUAUGCUGCUUAAAGUUUUAUGAAUGAACUCUGUUUCUAGACUUUUUGCUUCCACUGUUAGCAAUAUUUUCUUUUUCAACUUACACCCUCCUCCUACCAAAUUCCUAAUCAGUUUUCAAGCUUUUAGUCAGACAUCCAUUAAACCCUGGGUAAAUAAGUUAAUUGCCUUGCUAUGUCCUCUCAUAGUAUCAAAUACUCUUACUGGCAGUAUAAUGGUUGAGAAUAUAAUGUCAAGCAGUGUAAUAUUUUGUAAGUUACUUAGUCUUUUUAAGCUUCAGUUUAUUCAUCAAUAAAAUGAGGAUUAUAAUAGCAAUUACCUAGUUUGUUGGGUUCAUGUAAGAGUACUCAAAAAUUUUAGUAAUUAUUGGUGUUACUAAUGCAUAUUAUCAGUGCCUUUUCAUCACUUUAUAAUCGAACCAAGUGCCUGGCGCAUAAUAUGUGCUAUAUAAAAUGUCAGUGACUGACUGAAUGGCUGAAUGAAUUCACAUUCAAUUUCAAGCUUAAUUUUUGUUCUUUUUUGUUGUGGCAAAAUGUAUAUAACAUGAAUUUGCCAGUUUAACUGUUUUUAACCAUAGAAUUCUGUGACAUUAGUUACGUUCACAAGGCUAUGCACCCAUCACCACUGUCUUAUUUCCAAAGUGUUUUCAUUAACCCAGAUAGAAACUAUGUAUCAGUAAACAAGGGCUUCGUGUUAACUCCUUCCUUCAGAGUCUGAUUUGGAAAUAGGCGGUAAAGAAAUGUGUGACCAGAGAAGACUGGCUAAGGCGGCAGAAAGGAAGGACUCUGAGCUCACUUCCUCCUAUGGACACACCAAGAUUACAACUAUUACAGGAAAGCUAUUGAUGAAAAAGACUAGGACCUCCCAGAUCUUCUACAACUGCAGAUAUAAAGAAAGCACCACUGCAGGACGGACAGGAGAAAUGGAGUCACAUGUACAGUCAGGUUCUCUAUCCCUGAGUGGGCAACCCAAGAACAGGAGAAAAUUAUUAAUGCAGACAUUUUUCUCAAAGGAGCAAGAGGUCUGAUCCCCAUAUUGGACUCCUCUGCCCAAUAAUUUUGUGCCAAGAAGACAAGUCCCAGAAUGUUUGGAUUUGAAGGCCAGCAGGGCUUACUUUCAGGAGACCAAAACAUAGAUAGAGACUCUGCUUUUAAAAGAAUCGCCAGUCUGUAUCCGACGCAGGAUACAGCAUGCUUGGGGCUGGUGCACGGUGAUGACCCAGAG
ensembl:lncRNA